UACGAGGGGGCAAGCGUGUUCGGAAUUAUUGGGCGUAAAGGGUGCGUAGGCGGUCUGACAAGUCUGAUGUGAAAUCUAUGGGGCUCAACCCAUAGUCUGCAUCGGAAACUGUCGGGCUUGAGUAUGGGAGAGGUGAGUGGAAUUUCCGGUGUAGCGGUGAAAUGCGUAGAUAUCGGAAGGAACACCUGUGGCGAAGCGGCUCAC
rnacentral:rRNA from 1 species